GGGCGCGGACGGUCACACUCACAGGUCGGCAUGUUGGUGAACCUUUCUUGUUUAGCUUGCACGUUAUUCAUGUCAACGAGAGCUGCAAACAACUUCUCUAAUUGGUAGAAUGUGGACGGACAUUGCAUUCAUUCCCAUUCAGCCGUUGGACUGAACUGGUACUGUAACACAGUAUGGAUGGUCAAUAUGAAGCAAGCUUCAUCGAAUUCCUCCAAGAGCUCUGACUCUGUUCUGAUCAUUUUGAAGAUGCUUGCUUUGACAGGACUGGGCAAACGAUUCGUCUAAGACAGGAUGCUGUCCCAACCACAUUUAAUUUGCCGCCUCGUCAUCAGAAGAAUGCACACAAACCAGGGAAACCCUCGAAAGAAAGUCAUUUAGAUUCAGCAAGCAACCUCCCAGAUACUGCAAAGACACCUGUACCAAAGUCUUCAGCACCUUCCCUGGGACUACUACUCAAUGCCAAAAAUCUAAGAGGGGUAAAGUGGAAGAUAACAGCAACAUAUAUCUAAAUGGGAUGGAGACCAGCAGCAUGGCAGCAGGAGCUAAUGUUGGUCGUGAUGAGGCAUAUACCACCAUCAACAAUGCUGCAAUUGCAGUCACCACCACCAAGUCUGCUUCUGUCACUGCCAUCACCAUUGCCACCGCCAUUACCAAGACCACUCCUGACACAAAGCCCCCAAGUCCUCAACUGACCAGAUAUUGCAGCUGGAGAAGGAUAUACCAGGAACUUCAAAGCCAGGGCUUGCCAGUCUCCUACAAUAAGAAAAAUGCCAUGGGCCCAUCUAAUGAACUAGUAGUAGAAUAUUUGGCCACAGUUGUAGAAAUGCAGAGACUAACAUACUGCCACAGGUGAGGUUUUGUCCACAGUUCCAGAAGGACA
rnacentral:lncRNA from 1 species